rnacentral:rRNA from 1 species
AAACCCGGUGAUCUAGCCAUGGGCAGGUUGAAGGUUGGGUAACACUAACUGGAGGACCGAACCGACUAAUGUUGAAAAAUUAGCGGAUGACUUGUGGCUGGGGGUGAAAGGCCAAUCAAACCGGGAGAUAGCUGGUUCUCCCCGAAAGCUAUUUAGGUAGCGCCUCGUGAACUCAUCUUCGGGGGUAGAGCACUGUUUCGGCUAGGGGGCCAUCCCGGCUUACCAAACCGAUGCAAACUCCGAAUACCGAAGAAUGUUAUCACGGGAGACACACGGCGGGUGCUAACGUCCGUCGUGAAGAGGGAAACAACCCAGACCGCCAGCUAAGGUCCCAAAGUCAUGGUUAAGUGGGAAACGAUGUGGGAAGGCAUAGACAGCCAGGAUGUUGGCUUAGAAGCAGCCAUCAUUUAAAGAAAGCGUAAUAGCUCACUGGUCGAGUCGGCCUGCGCGGAAGAUGUAACGGGGCUAAACCAUGCACCGAAGCUGCGGCAGCGACGCUUAGGCGUUGUUGGGUAGGGGAGCGUUCUGUAAGCCGUUGAAGGUGGCCUGUGAGGGUUGCUGGAGGUAUCAGAAGUGCGAAUGCUGACAUAAGUAACGAUAAAGCGGGUGAAAAGCCCGCUCGCCGGAAGACCAAGGGUUCCUGUCCAACGUUAAUCGGGGCAGGGUGAGUCGACCCCUAAGGCGAGGCUGAAAAGCGUAGUCGAUGGGAAACAGGUUAAUAUUCCUGUACUUGGUGUUACUGCGAAGGGGGGACGGAGAAGGCUAGGCUAGCCGGGCGACGGUUGUCCCGGUUUAAGCGUGUAGGGGGUGUGA